rnacentral:piRNA from 1 species
UUUAUGUGUCUUAAUCUCUCUCGAUGGUUA